rnacentral:rRNA from 1 species
UACGAAGGGGGCUAGCGUUACUCGGAUUGAUUGGGCGUAAAGGGCGCGUAGGCGGUUUGUACAGUCAGACGUGAAAUUCCUGGGCUCAACCUGGGGGCUGCGUUUGAUACGUGCAGACUUGAGUUCGGAAGAGGGUCGUGGAAUUCCCAGUGUAGAGGUGAAAUUCGUAGAUAUUGGGAAGAACACCGGUGGCGAAGGCGGCGACCUGGUCCGAUACUGACGCUGAGGCGCGAAAGCGUGGGGAGCGAACAGG